rnacentral:rRNA from 1 species
UGAGGAAUAUUGGUCAAUGGGCGAGAGCCUGAACCAGCCAAGUCGCGUGAGGGAAGACGGUCCUACGGAUUGUAAACCUCUUUUGUCGGGGAGCAAUAAAGCGUACGCGUACGCAGAUGCGAGUACCCGAAGAAAAAGCAUCGGCUAACUCCGUGCCAA